rnacentral:rRNA from 1 species
AUGAACGCUGGCGGCGUGCCUCAUACAUGCAAGUCGAGCGAACAGACGAGGAGCUUGCUCCUCUGACGUUAGCGGCGGACGGGUGAGUAACACGUGGAUAACCUACCUAUAAGACUGGGAUAACUUCGGGAAACCGGAGCUAAUACCGGAUAAUAUAUUGAACCGCAUGGUUCAAUAGUGAAAGACGGUUUUGCUGUCACUUAUAGAUAGAUCCGCGCCGCAUUAGCUAGUUGGUAAGGUAACGGCUUACCAAGGCAACGAUGCGUAGCCGACCUGAGAGGGUGAUCGGCCACACUGGAACUGAGACACGGUCCAGACUCCUACGGGAGGCAGCAGUAGGGAAUCUUCCGCAAUGGGCGAAAGCCUGACGGAGCAACGCCGCGUGAGUGAUGAAGGUCUUCGGAUCGUAAAACUCUGUUAUUAGGGAAGAACAAAUGUGUAAGUAACUAUGCACGUCUUGACGGUACCUAAUCAGAAAGCCACGGCUAACUACGUG